AAGCAAAUGACCAAGAAACAACUUUUAUAUUAAUCAGGAUUCGUUUUUAAGUUGAAGUGACCAAAAUACAACUCAAACUAACUCAAGCAAAAAAGAAAUAGGUACUGGGGAGAGGGGACAGUAGGGGAACAGGCUCCCACAUACUGAGAUCUGGGAACACAAAGGGAAGUUAUCAGGUCUCUCUCCCUCUCAGCUCUGCUUCUUUCAGUGUGGUGGCCUCAUUCUUUCUAACUGAAGAACGAUCUUUACUGCAGAAAAUUCUAAGCAUUAUUGUGGCAGAUCCAGUAAGUCCCAGAGAAGGAUUCUGAUUGGUCCUGCUUCAGUCACAUGCUUGCAUCUUAGUCCAAUCACUGUGGCCUGGAGGAUGGGACACCAUGAUUUGCAAGACUCUGGUCACAUGCCCACACCUGUGGCUUCUGAAGCAGAGCACCAGCAGUGACAGUCCCACCAGAACCGCAUGGAAUAGAAAACUGUGCAUUUCCCUAAGGAAAGGGAAUGCCAGAGAAGGGCAGAAGGGAAAUCAGGAAGACAAAACGGUAAAUUACCUACCACAAAUCCAAUUCAUUGGUAUUUUUCCACUUACACUUAACCAAGCAACGAUUUCUCCUGGUCCCAUAAUGGAAAAGAGGGUUUAUCUAGAUUCAUAUAUACAAGACUGAAGAGUGAAGAGAGACCCAGAGAAUGUUCUAAAAUCUGCCAGUUAGCAUAAUCACACAGAGAAAUCUCUGCUUCCAGAGGAGGAGCCAAGUUCAAGUCAGAGGUGAGGAAUGCCAACAGGAAAGCUCACUUUCUCCGGGGAUAUUCAGGCCAACACUAGGAAACCACAGCCAAGUCAGGCAGGGCUUGGGGCGGAACUGCUGACACCUCCACCCUAGCCAAUCCAAGGUGCACGCCUGCCUCAUGCAGCCCAGCGUGACUCCCGCCAUUGGCACACUGUGCCCAUCACAGGCUGGAGCUCCUUUCCUCCACCGUCUUCCCAACUCCUGCCAACCAGAACUUAACUACUCCUUUGGAUUCUGCUUUUCACUUGUUCUUCAUCAGACUAUGGAAGCUUAGACUUCAUAAUUUGGCUGAGACUUCAAAAAUAGUUUUAAAGAAAGCUAUUCCCACCCUGCUAAAUGUCUUCAUGUUGGAGUGGACCUUUCCUCUAUCUGUCAACAGAAUGGAUAAAUUGUGGAAGAGUAAUAUCAGAAUACUACACAUCAGUAAAAAACAACAAACUUCUGCUACAAACAAUCAACAUCGAUGAAUCUUUCAGGCAAAAGGUUAUAGAAACAGAUGAUCAGUGGCCCACGGAUUCCAGGUGAGGAUCUGGGACCCAGACAUCCAGAUAUUGAAAACACAGGGAUGGAGUCUGUAUGGAAAAAAUUAAAAUAUAGCAAAAUGUGAAAUACGGAAGAGAAAUCUUUCAAUUUCCCAAUGGAAGUGAGAAAAGAGCAAAGAAAAGUAUUGGUCUUCCAAAACAAAUAGAGGACGGAGCUGCUGCUGUUGCAUGGUGUCUAGAAACUCAGACAACUUCAUCAUUCCAUAUUUGCAUCCAAGAGAGAGAAAGAAAAACUACAAUCAUUUUCCAUUUACCCAUCAACCCAUCAACCUCCAAAUAAAGGCUAUUAAAAAACAAUCAAAGUGUGAAGAGGGCAGAAAAUGUGAUGAAGAGAUUCUUUGGAGAAAGUAGCUGCCACUGUUACCUUGGGAUCUGCCUAUAGUCCUCACAGAGCUUGCCCUUGCAGGAUAGAACAUAGGAGUCUGGGAGUCUGCAAGAAGAGACAGGGUCUCACUAUGUUGCCCCAGUUGGCCUUGAA
rnacentral:lncRNA from 1 species